rnacentral:rRNA from 1 species
UACAGAGGGUGCAAGCGUUGUUCGGAAUUAUUGGGCGUAAAGGGCGCGUAGGCGGUGCGGUAAGUCUGCGGUGAAAUCUCCCGGCUCAACUGGGAGGCUGCCGUGGAAACUGCCGUGCUUGAGUGUGGGAGAGGUGAGUGGAAUUCCCGGUGUAGCGGUGAAAUGCGUAGAUAUUGGGAGGAACACCAGUGGCGAAGGCGGCUACCUGGACCGGUACUGACGCUGAUGCGCGAAAGCGUGGGUAGCAAACAGG